GUUCUAAGGGCGGUGAAGUCAGACCGGAAGGACUGGUGGAGCGCUUAGAAGUGAGAAUGCCGGUAUGAGUAGCGAAAGAAGGGUGAGAAUCCCUUCCACCGAAUAUCUAAGGUUUCCUGAGGAAGGCUCGUCCGCUCAGGGUUAGUCGGGACCUAAGCCGAGGCCGAUAGGCGUAGGCGAUGGACAACAGGUAGAGAUUCCUGUACCAGUGCUAAUUGUUUAACCGAUGGGGUGACACAGAAGGAUAGGGAAUCGCACGAAUGGAAAUGUGCGUCCAAGCAGUGAGUGUGAGAAGUAGGCAAAUCCGCUUCUCGCGAAGCAUGAGCUGUGAUGGGGAAGGAAAUUAAGUACGGAAGUUCCUGAUUUCACGCUGUCAAGAAAAGCCUCUAGGAAGAGUAGUACUGCCCGUACCGCAAACCGACACAGGUAGAUGAGGAGAGAAUCCUAAGGUGAGCGAGAGAACUCUCGUUAAGGAACUCGGCAAAAUGACCCCGUAACUUCGGGAGAAGGGGUGCUCUAUUAGGGUGCAAGCCCGAGAGAGCCGCAGUGAAUAGGCCCAGGCGACUGUUUAGCAAAAACACAGGUCUCUGCAAAACCGUAAGGUGACGUAUAGGGGCUGACGCCUGCCCGGUGCUGGAAGGUUAAGAGGAGUGCUUAGCUUCGGCGAAGGUACGAAUUGAAGCCCCAGUAAACGGCGGCCGUAACUAUAACGGUCCUAAGGUAGCGAAAUUCCUUGUCGGGUAAGUUCCGACCCGCACGAAAGGCGCAACGAUCUGGGCACUGUCUCAACGAGAGACUCGGUGAAAUUAUAGUACCUGUGAAGAUGCAGGUUACCCGCGACAGGACGGAAAGACCCCGUGGAGCUUUACUGCAACCUGAUAUGGAAUGUUUGUACCGCUUGUACAGGAUAGGUAGGAGCCGAAGAGACGUGUGCGCUAGCAUACGAGGAGGCAAUGGUGGGAUACUACCCUGGCUGUAUGACCAUUCUAACCCGCCACGCUUAGCGCGUGGGGAGACAGUGUCAGGUGGGCAGUUUGACUGGGGCGGUCGCCUCCUAAAGAGUAACGGAGGCGCCCAAAGGUUCCCUCAGAAUGGAUGGAAAUCAUUCGCAGAGUGUAAAGGCACAAG
rnacentral:rRNA from 1 species